rnacentral:rRNA from 1 species
GACGAACGCUGGCGGCGUGCUUAACAUAUGCAAGUCGAACGGAAAUGCCCUGCUUUUGUGGGGUGCUCGAGUGGCGAACGGGUGAGUAACACGUGAGUAACCUGCCCUUGACUUUGGGAUAACUUCAGGAAACUGGGGCUAAUACCGGAUAUGAGCUCCUGCUGCAUGGUGGGGGUUGGAAAGUUUCGGCGGUUGGGGAUGGACUCUCGGCUUAUCAGCUUGUUGUUGGGGUAGUGGCUUACCAAGGCUUUGACGGGUAGCCGGCCUGAGAGGGUGACCGGAAACAUUAGGACUGAGAUACGGCAGAGACUCCUACGGAAGGCAGGAGUGAGGAAUAUUGAAGAAUGGGCGGAAGCCUGAUACAGCAACGCCGAGUGCGGGAUGACGGCCUUCGGGUUGUAAACCGCUUACGCCUGUGACGAAGCGUGAGUGACGGAAAUGGGUAAAGAAGCACCGGCUAACUACGUG